rnacentral:snRNA from 1 species
AUUAAAACAACUGUGGAUG